GGCAGCAAUGGACCCAUGCCAGAGCUUUGGACUGAAACCGCUACUGCAGGGCAGGCCGGACAGCACUGAACGAAGUUCUUGGUGGCGACCGCCUCUUCUGUGCCCCGCACCUACAGCUGAUGGACAGAUAAUUAUGUCAUUCCAGCCCUGGUUCCCAUGGAGAAUUUUAUUCUGUGUCAGACGAGUGAAUGACUAUGCCUUCUGCCCAGUCCUGGACUGCACUUCCCUGGCCACCCUUGCUGGUCCCCAUGACAGUCUGGCGCCAUCUAUUGGUGACUGUCCACUCUGGAUGACAUCCUGAUGGGGCGCAUACAGGGUCUGUACACCACUGGUCCUCAGGAAAGCAUCACCCAUUCCAGGAAGCCCCUGGCUAGCUGGUGCCAGUUCUGUCGGCCCUGUUUGGGGAUAUUGGGUUGGGAGAUGACUGAACAAGCAGACACAUCAGUCAUCUUCAGGCUGCAAACUGACCUUCCCUUUUUCUUUUAGAUUGUUUUAUCUAUUUAUGCACUCAGAACUAGAGUACUGGCCAGAGGUGCAGGGCAG